CCCCUAGAUGUUCUGGGCCGCACGCGCGCUACACUGAACAGUUCAACAAGUCUUAACCUUGGCCGAUAGGUCUGGGUAAUCUUUGAACGCUGUUCGUGAUUGGGAUAGACCUUUGCAAUUAUGGGUCUUCAACGAGGAAUUCAUAGUAAACGCAAGUCAUCAGCUUGCAUUGAUUACGUCCCUGCCCUUUGUACACACCGCCCGUCGCACCUACCGAUUGAAUGGUCCGGUGAAAUCUCGGGACGGCGGCUUGGUCGCUUGCGUCCGACUGCUGAAACUUGAUUAAACCAUAUCAUUUAGAGGAAGGUGAANUCGUAACA
rnacentral:rRNA from 1 species